GAUGAACGCUGGCGGCGUGCCUAACACAUGCAAGUCGAGCGAAGCGCCUUACUUGAUUUCUUCGGGAUGAAAGUAUUGUGACUGAGCGGCGACGGGUGAAGGUACGCGUGAUAACCUGCCUCAUACAGGGGGAUAACAGUUAGAAAUGACUGCUAAUACCGCAUAAGACCACAGCACCGCAUGGUGCAGGGGUAAAAACUCCGGUGGUAUGAGAUGGAUCCGCGUCUGAUUAGCUAGUUGGUAAGGUAACGGCUUACCAAGGCAACGAUCAGUAGCCGACCUGAGAGGGUGACCGGCCACAUUGGGACUGAGACACGGCCCAA
rnacentral:rRNA from 1 species